rnacentral:rRNA from 1 species
ACUUUAAUCGAUUUCUUCGGAUUGAAAUUUUAGUGACUGAGUGGCGGACGGGUGAGUAACGCGUGGGUAACCUGCCUUAUACAGGGGGAUAACAGUUGGAAACGACUGCUAAUACCGCAUAAGCGCACAGCUUCGCAUGAAGCAGUGUGAAAAACUCCGGUGGUACAGGAUGGACCCGCGUCUGAUUAGAUAGUUGGUGAGGUAACGGCCCACCAAGUCAACGAUCAGUAGCCGGCCUGAGAGGAAGGUCCCCACAUUGGAACUGAGACACGGUCCAAACUCC